rnacentral:rRNA from 1 species
GAUCAUGGCUCAGGAUGAACGCUAGCGGCAGGCUUAACACAUGCAAGUCGAGGGGCAGCAUAAUGGUAGUAAUACUAUUGAUGGCGACCGGCGGACGGGUGCGUAACGCGUAUGCAACCUACCCUUUACAGGGGGAUAACACUGAGAAAUCGGUACUAAUACCCCAUAAUAUUCUGGGAGGCAUCUUUCGGUAGUUGAAAGACUUUGGUGGUAAAGGAAUGGGCGAUGCGUUGUAUUAGCUAGUUGG